rnacentral:rRNA from 1 species
GAUGAACGCUGGCGGCGUGCCUAAUACAUGCAAGUCGAGCGAACGGACGAGAAGCUUGCUUCUCUGAUGUUAGCGGCGGACGGGUGAGUAACACGUGGAUAACCUACCUAUAAGACUGGGAUAACUUCGGGAAACCGGAGCUAAUACCGGAUAAUAUUUUGAACCGCAUGGUUCAAAAGUGAAAGACGGUCUUGCUGUCACUUAUAGAUGGAUCCGCGCUGCAUUAGCUAGUUGGUAAGGUAACGGCUUACCAAGGCAACGAUGCAUAGCCGACCUGAGAGGGUGAUCGGCCACACUGGAACUGAGACACGGUCCAGACUCCUACGGGAGGCAGCAGUAGGGAAUUUUCCGCAAUGGGCGAAAGCCUGACGGAUCAACGCCGCGUGAGUGAUGAAGGUCUUCGGAUCGUAAAACUCUGUUAUUAGGGAAGAACAUAUGUGUAAGUAACUGUGCACAUCUUGACGGUACCUAAUCAGAAAGCCACGGCUAACUACGUG